UACGUAGGUCCCGAGCGUUGUCCGGAUUUAUUGGGCGUAAAGCGAGCGCAGGUGGUUUAUUAAGUCUGGUGUAAAAGGCAGAGGCUCAACCAUUGUAUGCAUUGGAAACUGGUAGACUUGAGUGCAGGAGAGGAGAGUGGAAUUCCAUGUGUAGCGGUGAAAUGCGUAGAUAUAUGGAGGAACACCGGUGGCGAAAGCGGCUCUCUGGCCUGUAACUGACACUGAGGCUCGAAAGCGUGGGGAGCAAGCAGG
rnacentral:rRNA from 1 species